rnacentral:lncRNA from 1 species
CACAUUGACUGUUUCUCUUCAUGAUUUGGAUAUGAGAUUGAUUACUAUGAAACACACAAAAUCUUUCUGGAUAUGUACACAGGGUUUAAAAGUAACAUCUCGUUUGUUGAAAAAUGAUGAUGACAUGGACCUUAUAAAUGUUUCAACUAAUGGGCCAAGCCAUGAAGAGGAAAUUAAUGUUUCACCUAAUGGGUGCCUCAUGUUACAUCAUGAUGGUGAUUUGAACAUAUGGUUGAGUGAUCUUGAUCUUCAUUGCUAUCCACAUAUUAUUGGAUUGCUGAUUGAAUUUUUCGAUAAGCUACCUGAAUUUAGCCCUUCAC